CAAUCUCAGUUCAGACUGCAGGCUGCAACUCGCCUGCACGAAGUCGGAAUUGCUAGUAAUCGUAGGCCAGCAUACUACGGUGAAUACGUUCCCGGGCCUUGUACACACCGCCCGUCAAACCAUGAGAGUUGGCAACACCCGAAGUCGGUAGUCUAACCGCAAGGAGGACGCCGCCGAAGGUGGGGUUGAUGAUUAGGGUUAAGUCGUAACAAGGUACC
rnacentral:rRNA from 1 species